rnacentral:rRNA from 1 species
GAUGAACGCUGGCGGCGUGCCUAAUACAUGCAAGUCGAGCGAACGGACGAGAAGCUUGCUUUUCUGAUGUUAGCGGCGGACGGGUGAGUAACACGUGGAUAACCUACCUAUAAGACUGGGAUAACUUCGGGAAACCGGAGCUAAUACCGGAUAAUAUUUUGAACCGCAUGGUUCAUAAGUGAAAGACGGUCUUGCUGUCACUUAUAGAUGGAUCCGCGCUGCAUUAGCUAGUUGGUAAGGUAACGGCUUACCAAGGCAACGAUGCAUAGCCGACCUGAGAGGGUGAUCGGCCACACUGGAACUGAGACACGGUCCAGACUCCUACGGGAGGCAGCAGUAGGGAAUCUUCCGCAAUGGGCGAAAGCCUGACGGAGCAACGCCGCGUGAGUGAUGAAGGUCUUCGGAUCGUAAAACUCUGUUAUUAGGGAAGAACAUAUGUGUAAGUAACUGUGCACAUCUUGACGGUACCUAAUCAGAAAGCCACAGCUAACUACGUG